GGGUGGAAGUGAACCCCUCCCGGCAACUAUUGCUCCAGCCGGAAGCGCCUGGGGCGGCUACUGACGGCAACGCUGGUGGUCGAAGCCUCUGGGAAAAAGGCCCGGAAUAGCGGGUCAGCGAGCAAGCAG
rfam:Methylacidiphilum fumariolicum SolV, WGS project CAHT01000000 data, contig: 49-2114